UGGAGCAUGUGGUUUAAUUCGAUGCAACGCGAAGAACCUUACCUGGUCUUGACAUCCACGGAAGUUUUCAGAGAUGAGAAUGUGCCUUCGGGAACCGUGAGACAGGUGCUGCAUGGCUGUCGUCAGCUCGUGUUGUGAAAUGUUGGGUUAAGUCCCGCAACGAGCGCAACCCUUAUCCUUUGUUGCCAGCGGUCCGGCCGGGAACUCAAAGGAGACUGCCAGUGAUAAACUGGAGGAAGGUGGGGAUGACGUCAAGUCAUCAUGGCCCUUACGACCAGGGCUACACACGUGCUACAAUGGCGCAUACAAAGAGAAGCGACCUCGCGAGAGCAAGCGGACCUCAUAAAGUGCGUCGUAGUCCGGAUUGGAGUCUGCAACUCGACUCCAUGAAGUCGGAAUCGCUAGUAAUCGUGGAUCAGAAUGCCACGGUGAAUACGUUCCCGGGCCUUGUACACACCGCCCGUCACACCAUGGGAGUGGGUUGCAA
rnacentral:rRNA from 1 species